GGGGGCAUAGCUCAGCUGGUUAGAGCGCUUGCUCGACAAGCAAGAGGCCGGUGGUUCGAGUCCACUUGCUCCUACCA
rnacentral:tRNA from 1 species